rnacentral:rRNA from 1 species
GUGUCUUCGGACCGUGUCGGACGGUUGAGUAACGCGUGAGAAUCUAUUCUUCGGGUCGGGGACAACCACUGGAAACGGUGGCUAAUACCGGAUGUGCCGAGAGGUGAAAGAUUUAUUGCCUGAAGAUGAGCUCGCGUCUGAUUAGCUAGUAGGUGGGGUAAGAGCCUACCUAGGCGACGAUCAGUAGCUGGUCUGAGAGGAUGAUCAGCCACGCUGGGACUGAGACACGGCCCAGACUCCUACGGCAGGCAGCAGUGGGGAAUUUUCCGCAUUGGGCGAAAGCCUGACGGAGCAAUACCGCGUGAGGGAGGAAGGCUCUUGGGUUGUAAACCUCUUUUCUCAAGGAAGAACACAAUGACGGUACUUGAGGAAUCAACAUCGGCUAACUCCGUGCCAGCAGCCGCGGUAAUACGGAGGAUGCAAGCGUUAUCCGGAAUGAUUGGGCGUAAAGCGUCCGCAGGUGGUGAUGUAAGUCUGCUGUCAAAGCGUCUAGCUCAACUAGAUACAGGCAGUGGAAACUACAUGACUAGAGUGCGUUCGGGGCAGAGGGAAUUUCCUGGUGUAGCGGUGAAAUGCGUAGAUAUCAGGAAGAACACCGGUGGCGAAAGCGCUCUGCUAGGCCGCAACUGACACUGAGGGACGAAAGCUAGGGGAGCGAAUGGGGAUUAGAUACCCCAGUAGUCCUAGCCGUAAACAAUGGAUACUAGGCCGUGGCUUGUAUCGACCCCGAGCCCGUGCCGUAGCUUAACGCGUUAAAGUAUCCCCCCCUGGGGAGUACCCACCCAAGGUUGGUGAAAACUCAAAAAGAAUUUGACGGGGUGCCCCCAUCAAACCGGUGGAGAAUGGGGUUUUAAUUUCGAUGCAACGCUGAAAGAAACCCUUACCAAGACUUGACAUGUCGCGAAUCCUGCUGAAAGGCGGGAGUGCCUUCGGGAGGAACC